UGAGUCAUUCACCACCAGGGUGCAGUGUGACACCAUAAAUACAUUCAAUGCUGAGGUCAGGCAGCUCUUAAACAGCUGGAAAUUCCAUGUACAAUAAAGUUCAUGAUUCCAGCUGGAUCCAGGACUUUAUUGGACUAUUUUUGUAAAAUUUCACAAAGUUAGGAAUAGGGAUGUCACGAGAACCGAUACUUCGGUACCAAGUCGGUACCAACAUUCUUAAAACAUGACGGUACUUGUCUUUCUGCCGUCCGUUGGUAUCGUUUGUAAAGAAAGUACCGGGGUUGCGAUUCUUCCGAACCUGAAGGGUGCAGGAAAUAUGCGGGAGUGUUUUAGUCGGUCCACAAGUGAUAAAGAAGAAGAACUACGCACACGGGGGAAAACUGCAAAAGAUGCUAUGGCGACAAGUUCAGCUCCUCCCCGACUCGUCGAGAGAGAAAAAGGCAAGCGUCGAAUAUGGAAAUACUUCGCAUUCGAGGCGGAUAAAAACAGACAUAUAAUUGAUUCUCUGAAGCCGGUGUGCAAACGAUACCAUCGUUCACUUCAAACAAAGGGAGGAAACACCUCGAAUUUGGCGAAGCACCUGAAAGACAGGCACCCCGAUCUCUUCAAAGAAUUCAAGAUGAUAUCAGCCAGAGGAGGAUGUCCACCAGGAGAGUCAGGAGCAAAGUCAGCAAACAUUAACACAGCCAACCUUAAGAGUAGCUUAUAAAAGGCACAGAAAACAUGACAAAAACGCAACGAAGAAAGGAAACUGGACAGGGCAGUUUCUGAAUUUAUAUUCAUGGAUCAAGUUCCUGUCUACACUGUAGAAAAGCAUGGAUUCCAGCAAAUGCUUCAGCAGUUCAACCCCAGAUACCAGCUACCAAGCAGAAAUUACUUCAUGUAUACAGAGUUCCCCAAACUAUACACCGAAACCAGAGACCUCAUUUCAGAACCUCUCAAAGAAAAAACAUUUUAUGCCUACAUAUUGUAAGGGAAUUAGCCCGGGGAAGGGCGGAGCACAGACCCACAAGAGACAGGUUUUAGUCAAUACGGGGGUUUUAUUUGUGAGUGUGAGGGGUUUUGUGGGGGUGUGGCUGGCAUGGUGACGUUCUCGAGGGCGUGUCGGGGCUCGCAAGAGGUGUGUGUGGGUUUCCCGUGCCGUCAUCCACCGUUGAACGCGAUCUCACCAUCCGGCGGUCUUGUCCGCAAUCGAACGUAGUCUGUCUCUUAGCCGUUCUCCUCGCAGGGGCAGAAGAGCGUCCUUUUAUACUCUUCCGCCGUUGCCUGCGUGGUGGAAUUUUCCCGACGGAUUCCCCAAUCGCCGGCCGGUGUAGCGUCGACGGUCCCGCCCCACCGUGACGGUCCUUCCGGGCUGAUGGUGUGUUUGGCACGAGGCUGUCUGCUUCGUGUCUGCGCGGCAGUCGGGGAAGGAGCGAUUUUCUUAUCAUGCGCGCCGGCUGUCGGUCCGUCGCGACAAUAUUUAUUAUAUAUCUAUUUUGUAAUUCCUUUUUUAGAUUAUGUGACUGUUGCCAAUAUUGUAUUUUGUGUUUUAUAAUGCUCAAAUGUUUAAAUAAAGGAAUUAAUGUUUAAGUGUUA